GACUUUUUUCCCAUUGAGAGUAUUGCUUUAGAUUUUUAUGGUCUUUAAAUAAAACCAUAGAGUUCAAUAUCACAAACAACAAACUGAUAAAUUCUUAACAAAAUUUUCAUGGCUUCUUCUUCUUCUUCUUCUUCUUUUCCUGAUGUAUAUGCCUGGCUUGAAAGCCUUCCACUAAUCCCCCAAUGGAAAACAGAUUCCAUGUCCAUGAAUCUAUGCCCAUUUUCAUCAAUCCCUUCCUUGAAACUCUCAAUUAAGAACUAUAACUCAUCAUUCUCUCUCUCUAUAUGCGCAGAUUAUAAUCUCCCUCUCUCUCUCUGGAACUCUAAAACCUUUUCACCAAAUCCCAUAUCAAAGAAACUUCUAGACGAUCAUGAAACAGUUUCAUUUCUCUUCC
rnacentral:lncRNA from 1 species